rnacentral:rRNA from 2 species
GCCCUUAAGUGGGGGAUAACAUUUGGAAACAGAUGCUAAUACCGCAUAGAUCCAAGAACCGCAUGGUUCUUGGCUGAAAGAUGGCGUAAGCUAUCGCUUUUGGAUGGACCCGCGGCGUAUUAGCUAGUUGGUGAGGUAAUGGCUCACCAAGGCGAUGAUACGUAGCCGAACUGAGAGGUUGAUCGGCCACAUUGGGACUGAGACACGGCCCAAACUCCUACGGGAGGCAGCAGUAGGGAAUCUUCCACAAUGGACGCAAGUCUGAUGGAGCAACGCCGCGUGAGUGAAGAAGGCUUUCGGGUCGUAAAACUCUGUUGUUGGAGAAGAAUGGUCGGCAGAGUAACUGUUGUCGGCGUGACGGUAUCCAACCAGAAAGCCACGGCUAACUACGUGCCAGCAGCCGCGGUAAUACGUA